UUCUCCUACGGGGGGCAGCAGUGAGGAAUAUUGGUCAAUGGACGAGAGUCUGAACCAGCCAAGUAGCGUGAAGGAUGACUGCCCUAUGGGUUGUAAACUUCUUUUAUAUGGGAAUAAAGUUUUCCACGUGUGGAAUUUUGUAUGUACCAUAUGAAUAAGCAUCGGCUAACUCCGUGCCAGCAGCCGCGGUAAUACGGAGGAUGCGAGCGUUAUCCGGAUUUAUUGGGUUUAAAGGGUGCGUAGGCGGAUUUUUAAGUCAGCGGUAAAAUGUCCGGGCUCAACCCGGGCCGGCCGU
rnacentral:rRNA from 1 species